AUCCCGGCAAGUGAGCGCCCAGGGACUCUCGGCCAGAGAGGCUGUGAGGGUGGCUUUGUGAGGAUGGCUUUGUGUGGCUGCACAUUGCCCUUGGCCAAGCCCCGCUGCCAGGAGAGGCAGCUCGGCUGCCAAACCUCCUGAACCCAAGUUACCUGAGCAAGCAGCCCUAUCCCCUCGCCUGCUUCUCACUGCCUCGCCUGCCUUGGGCCUGCCCGACCCAGGGGGUCACAUGCCUUGUUCCCCAUCAGUGGAGACCAGGGACAAGAAGACAGUUCUGUGGGAAGAGCCAGGAGGACCAUUUGGGAAAAUACAGGUUCCAGGUGUGUCUCCAGACCUUGAGAGUUGGUGUCUCCUGGGAAGAGGCCCUGAUGAGAUCUGGGGAGAUUCGGAUCUGAUGAGAUUCAGGAAGCCCUGGCCUCUCCGUACUUGAGGAGACGGGACACACAGGACAAGCUGCAGGCUGGUGAGCAGGUUCACCUUCUAUUUUGAAGACCCGCUUCUUCCUCAGGUACCUGAUCUUGAAAACGACCUCCCCUUUCAGUUCUGGAGGCCAGAAGCCCAAAAUCAGUCUCGCUGGGCUAACGUGAAGGUGUCAGUCGGGCUGGUUCCUUCUGGAGGCUCCAGAAAAGAAUCUGUUUUCUUGCCUUUUCUGGCUCAGUUUCUCGGCUUGUGGCUCCUUCCUCCAUCUUCAAAGAGCACCACUCCAAUCUGCUCCUCCAUCAGGUCACCUUCUGCCUGACUCCUACAUCCCUUUCAGAAGGACCCUUGUGAUUCCAUGAGGUCCACCCAGAUCACGCAGGAUAAUGUCCCCGUCUCAAGAGGCUUAAUCUAAUCACAGGUGAAAGCCCUAUACGAGGUGUCAUGGACAGAUUCUGGGCCUAAAGACAUGAACAUCUGUGGGGGCAUCACUCAGACUUCCACGGGUGACAAGGGCCCCAUGGUGGGAGGGGAGAAGAGGAGGAAACGGGAGAGUGAGGAUUCACCAGGAGACUGGCCCGAGAAAGGAGACACGGAUUGGACAGGCUCAGCCAGUGGAAGACCGUCCUGCCUGGAGGGAAGUGGCUUUUAGGAGUUUUUUCCUGAGCCUGUUGUGUCUCCUUCCCUCCUUUCUCCCCCAAAUCCAACUAGAAAACUAGAAACAUAAUCUGUUGUGUUGACUCCAUAGGUCUUGCUUCCCCUCAACCCAGACACCGACUCGCCCAAGGGUCUUCCAGCUGGCUGAGUUGGAACCUGCAUUUUUUAACCACAAGGAAAAGAAGCCCAGAGCUACCAAGAAUAAUAUUUUAUUGACUUGGAAUGAGUUUUGGAAUCUGUAUUUUUAACAAGCUGCCCAGUGAAAACCAUUUCCUCCUCGUCGUGGCGCAGGUCCAGAGGCUGCGCCCAUCUCUCCCACGUCAACAGUCCUGUGUCCUUGGCGAAGGACUGUUCUCUCAUUCAGUGCCUUUCCUCUCUUCCUGGGCCAAAUCCCUGCUUUGCGUCUCCCUGCAGCUCAUAAAAAGCUGAAUUACCUGAGGCAGGGAAAGCCCCACCCACUGUCAUUCUCAGGGAGGAGUGGAGUCUGCAGAGGCCGCAAUGCACAGCUUCCCUAUCCCCCUCCACCCGUGUUUUCCCAGAGCAGCUCUGUUCCAGGCCCGGGGGUGUCCCUGGGCCGAGAUGGAAUCCAGCCCUGACCACCUCCCAAAGCCAACAGCCCUGAGUGAGCGUGCAGAGAAGCAAGAGCUGUUCCUGAUGCAGAGCAAAGACAUCUCCCAGUCAAGGGGGAUGAACUGAUUUGGGACAAAAGGCAGUUGUUGGCUGAGGAAGGCAGGAUCUGGGGGAGCCCUGUGCUGAGUGGAGGUGGGUGGGUGUAUUUCCUUGGCUCACAGAGGCCUCUUGUCUGGUGGGAUCAGCUCCUCCAGCCAGUUGCCACCUGGUCCAGCUUUGGGAGAUGUGGAGAAUGACUUUCGCAGUGAUUUCCACUGGGCCAUGGCAUUGAAACAGCUGCAGGAGGGGACACAGCUGGUGCCACCCCUACUCCGUCCAUUAGAGCUGCUGUGAAGGAAUGCCACCCUCCCCAUGGGGAGUGAGGGGGCCCUACUUGCUGUGGUUGGUUCCAGGGACCAUGGGAAGAGGCAAACCCCUAUUUUCAAGGGCACAAGUUGGCUUUUAUUAAAAUAAAAUUUCAUCAUCACUUAUUCCAGUGGCUCCCAAACUUGGCUAAACAUCAGGAUCACCCAGGAUGUUUGUUAAAAAAUAAAGAUUAUGGCCGGGUGCAGUGGCUCACGCCUGUAAUCCUAGCACUUUGGGAGGCCCAGGCGGGCAGAUCACUUGAGGUCAAGAAUUCGAGACCAGCCUGGCCAACAUGGGGAAAUGCUGUCUCUACUAAAAAUACAAAAAUUAGCUGGGUGUGGUGGUGCAUACCUGUAACCCCAGCUACUCGGAGGCAGAGGCAGGAGAAUUGCUUGAACUUGGGAGGCAAAGGUGGCAGUGAGUCGAGAUAGCGCCACUGCACUGCACUCCAG
rnacentral:lncRNA from 1 species